GUCCACGCUGUAAACGAUGAGCACUAGGUGUGGGGGUUCAGUCCCUUCCGUGCCGCAGCUAACGCAUUAAGUGCUCCGCCUGGGGAGUACGGCCGCAAGGUUGAAACUCAAAGGAAUUGACGGGGGCCCGCACAAGCGGUGGAGCAUGUGGUUCAAUUCGAUGCAGAGCGAAGAACCUUACCUGGGCUUGACAUGUAGGAAGUAGAAACCGGAAACGGGGACGACCUGUUAAGUCAGGAGCCUACACAGGUGGUGCAUGGCUGUCGU
rnacentral:rRNA from 1 species